rnacentral:rRNA from 1 species
AUGAACGCUGGCGGCGUGCCUAAUACAUGCAAGUCGAGCGAACAGACGAGGAGCUUGCUCCUCUGACGUUAGCGGCGGACGGGUGAGUAACACGUGGAUAACCUACCUAUAAGACUGGGAUAACUUCGGGAAACCGGAGCUAAUACCGGAUAAUAUAUUGAACCGCAUGGUUCAAUAGUGAAAGACGGUUUUGCUGUCACUUAUAGAUGGAUCCGCGCCGCAUUAGCUAGUUGGUAAGGUAACGGCUUACCAAGGCAACGAUGCGUAGCCGACCUGAGAGGGUGAUCGGCCACACUGGAACUGAGACACGGUCCAGACUGCUACGGGAGGCAGCAGUAGGGAAUCUUCCGCAAUGGGCGAAAGCCUGACGGAGCAACGCCGCGUGAGUGAUGAAGGUCUUCGGAUCGUAAAACUCUGUUAUUAGGGAAGAACAAAUGUGUAAGUAACUAUGCACGUCUUGACGGUACCUAAUCAGAAAGCCACGGCUAACUACGUG